AGAGUUUGAUCCUGGCUCAGGACGAACGCUGGAGGUGUGCUUAACACAUGCAAGUCGAACGAGGAUGUAUUGAAGCUUGCUUCGAUACAAGCCGAGUGGCGGACGGGUGAGGAACACGUAAGUAACCUGCCCUUUAGUGGGGGAUAACGCUUCGAAAGGAGCGCUGACACCGCAUAUUCUCUUUAUAUCGCAUGAUAUUUAGAGGAAAAAUUUAUUGCUAAAGGAAGGGCUUGCGUACGAUUAGUUUGCUGGUGGGGUAAUGGCCUACCAAGACUGCGAUCGUUAACUGGUCUGAGAGGAUGAACAGCCACACUGGGACUGAGAUACGGCCCAGACUCCUACGGGAGGCAGCAGUGGGGAAUUUUGCGCAAUGGGGGAAACCCUGACGCAGCGACACCUCGUGAGUGAUGAAGUCUUUCGGGAUGUAAAGCUCUGUCGGCAGGGACGAUUAUGACGGUACCUGCAAAGGAAGCUCCGGCUAAUUACGUGCCAGCAGCCGCGGUAAUACGUAAGGAGCAAGCGUUGUCCGGGUUUAUUGGGCGUAAAGCGUGCGUAGGCGGUUUUGUAAGUUAGGUGUUAAAGACAUGGGCUCAACUCGUGGAUGCGCCUAAGACUGCAGGACUAGAGGAUAGGAGAGGAAAGCGGAACUCACAGUGUAGCGGUGAAAUGCGUAGAUAUUGUGAGGAACACCGGUGGCGAAGGCGGCUUUCUGGACUAUUUCUGACGCUGAGGUACGAAAGCAUGGGGAUCAAACAGGAUUAGAUACCCUGGUAGUCCAUGCCGUAAACGUUGUUCACUAGGUGUAGGAGGUAUCGACCCCUUCUGUGCCGGAGCUAACGCGUUAAGUGAACCGCCUGGGAAGUACGGCCGCAAGGCUAAAACUCAAAGGAAUUGACGGGGGCCCGCACAAGCAGUGGAACAUGUGGUUUAAUUCGACAUACGCGAAAAACCUUACCUGGGUUUGAAAUCCUUGGAAUCCCUCAGAGACGAGGGAGUGCCUUCGGGAGCCAAGUGACAGGUGCUGCAUGGUUGUCGUCAGCUCGUGUCGUGAGAUGUUGGGUUAAGUCCCGCAACGAGCGCAACCCUUGUCGUGUGUUACCAGCGGAUUAUGCCGGGGACUCACACGAGACUGCCUAUGGAAAGUAGGAGGAAGGUGGGGAUGACGUCAAAUCAUCAUGGCCCUUAUGUCCAGGGCUACACACAUGUUACAAUGGUAUGUACAAAGGGUAGCGAAGCCGCAAGGUGAAGCCAAUCUCAAAAAACAUACCUCAGUUCGGAUUGCAGGCUGCAACUCGCCUGCAUGAAGCCGGAAUUGCUAGUAAACGCAGAUCAGCGCGCUGCGUUGAAUACGUUCCCGGGCCUUGUACACACCGCCCGUCACACCAUGAAAGCUGGGAGUACCCGAAGCCGGCAGGCUAACCGUAAGGAAGCAACCGUCGAAGGUAAUACUGGUGAUUGGGGUGAAGUCGUAACAAGGUA
rnacentral:rRNA from 1 species